GAUGAACGCUGGCGGCGUGCCUAAUACAUGCAAGUCGAGCGAACGGACGAGAAGCUUGCUUCUCUGAUGUUAGCGGCGGACGGGUGAGUAACACGUGGAUAACCUACCUAUAAGACUGGGAUAACUUCGGGAAACCGGAGCUAAUACCGGAUAAUAUUUUGAACCGCAUGGUUCAAAAGUGAAAGACGGUCCUGCUGUCACUUAUAGAUGGAUCCGCGCUGCAUUAGCUAGUUGGUAAGGUAACGGCUUACCAAGGCAACGAUGCAUAGCCGACCUGAGAGGGUGAUCGGCCACACUAGAACUGAGACAGGGUCCAGACGACUACGGGAGGCAGCAGUAGGGAAUCUGCCGCAAUGGGCGAAAGCAUGACGGAGCAACGCCGCGUGAGUGAUGAAGGUCUUCGGAUCGUAAAACUCUGUUAUUAGGGAAGAACAUAUGUGUAAGGAACUGUGCACAUCUUGACGGUACCUAAUCAGAAAGCCACGGCUAACUACGUG
rnacentral:rRNA from 1 species